rnacentral:rRNA from 1 species
UACGUAGGUGGCAAGCGUUAUCCGGAAUUAUUGGGCGUAAAGCGCGCGCAGGUGGUUUCUUAAGUCGAAUGUGAAAGCCCCCGGCUCAACUGGGGAGGGUCAUUCGAUACUGAUCGACUUGAAGGCAGGAGAGGGAAGUGGAAUUCCGGGUGUAGUGGUGAAAUGCGUAGAUAUCCGGAGGAACACCAGUGGCGAAGGCGACUUCCUGGCCUGUUCUUGACGCUGAGGCGCGAAAGCUAGGGUAGCAAACGGG